CUCCAGUCGCCGAUCGCCGUAUCACCGCGUCGCACCGCCGCUGCGCCGCGGGCUGCGGCCGUGGAUCAUCGCGUCGCCCGCGGGUAUCGGCAUCGCCGGUGUAAACGGUGACCUGGCCGACCUGGCUCGUCCCGGGCCCGCUGCGCGAGCGAGCGUACUCAGCGGAUUCGCAGUGAUCGCCGUGAAAGCCUGGCGUUGUGGUGCGAACGUGAGACGCCGGCGCGAGGAACGUCAAGAGAUGAUUCGUCGGCGUUUCGCCGCCGUCGUCGUCGUCCUCCUCCUUCUUCUCCUCGUCACCGCCGCCGUCGUCCUCGUCAACACCGUCGAUCUUCUCACGCGCAUAUCUCACUCCCUCCUCAUUGUACGACGUACGGCGCCGUACACGCCGACCGCGGGAAUCCGUGUCUUCCGAGACGCAAAUGCCGAUGGGAUAACGAUACUGUCACACCUCUCACGUGAAUCCUACCGAACUACCGAACUCCGAAGGUACCGCAAGAGCGGCCAAGCACCGCGCGAGAUUACAAUCCAAAUACUCCAAUGAUCGACGCCGAGUCGAGGCCGAUUACGAAGGGCAUAAAGAGGUAGGGGAACGCGCGGUGGAGGCUAGAAAUGGCUAGAAACUGACGCAUGAUGGAAUUAAUAUAUCAUUCCACCAUUGACUGACGUACGUACAACAGCUAUAAAGAAAUACCAAAGAACAAAACAAAGUAAAAAGGCAAUCCAGUAAGGCAACAUGUGUACCUCAGCUCUAUGUAACUGGCCCAUCUUUAGUUUAUUGGAACCAGAGUUUGUAUCACAGAUUCAUAUGGUUGUUGUAUAUGGUGACUUAGGUAAUGAGGCUUUAAUUGUGACAAGGGA